GAUGAACGCUGGCGGCGUGCCUAAUACAUGCAAGUCGAGCGAACAGACGAGGAGCUUGCUCCUUCGACGUUAGCGGCGGACGGGUGAGUAACACGUAGGUAACCUACCUAUAAGACUGGGAUAACUUCGGGAAACCGGAGCUAAUACCGGAUAAUAUUUCGAACCGCAUGGUUCGAUAGUGAAAGAUGGCUUUGCUAUCACUUAUAGAUGGACCUGCGCCGUAUUAGCUAGUUGGUAAGGUAACGGCUUACCAAGGCAACGAUACGUAGCCGACCUGAGAGGGUGAUCGGCCACACUGGAACUGAGACACGGUCCAGACUCCUACGGGAGGCAGCUGUAGGGAAUCUUCCGCAAUGGGCGAAAGCCUGACGGAGCAACGCCGCGUGAGUGAUGAAGGUCUUCGGAUCGUAAAACUCUGUUAUUAGGGAAGAACAAACGUGUAAGUAACUGUGCACGUCUUGACGGUACCUAAUCAGAAAGCCACGGCUAACUACGUG
rnacentral:rRNA from 1 species